UGAACAAUCAAGAAAUGUUUAACAGAUACAGAAAUACUACAAGAUUCUGAAAGGUUUCAUGAUUUCUUUAUUAUUAAAGAAAAAGGUAUAAAGAGUGCUGGAAAAUUAAAAACCAAAACAUUGCCAAUAUAGGGCUAGUAUAGGCAAUUCUCUCUUCCAUGACACUAGUCUUCAUAAAUGAGCCAUCCGUUAAUUGGUUAUUGUGUCCUAGAAAGAACAUUUUGGUUACACAAAGGAAUUGUGAAAGUAGGUCAAGCCACCACCACAAAAAAAAUAAGCACUCCAUCACUAUAAAUAUUUUAAUAAAGGGCUUUGAUGCUUCUAGAAGGAGGGAAAAUUUUUAACAGCACAUU